rnacentral:misc_RNA from 1 species
GAUGAAGAACGUAGCGAAAUGCGAUAAGUAGUGUGAAUUGCAGAAUACAGUGAAUCAUCGAAUCUUUGAACGCACAUUGCGCCUCCUGGCAUUCCGGGAGGCAUGCCUGUUCGAGCGUCAUCAAACCCCAUCGUGCAAAUGAAUUAUUUUUUUUGCGCGGAAGUGACGAUUGAGCGAGAAUAACAAAUCCUCUCGCACCUCGUCGACAUGAUUGCGGGCGGAAUUUGGGAUCGGGUUCCUCGGCGUAGUGUAUCAAUGCAUAUUUAUGCAACUUGCCGCGGAGUUGAGCCUGACCCACGCGUUCUCGCCGUACAAACACCUCAUUACUUUACAAGUUUUUGACCUCGGAUCAGGUAGGGAUACCCGCUGAACUUAAGCAUAUCAAUAAGCGGAGGA